CAUAUAAUAUUAGGUGGUUAUAAUGUUUUGCUAGAAACCGCUGAUAAUCUAUGAAUUGAAAAUUCAUUGCUGAUAUUAUAUGAUCCUAUAGGGUCACACACCUAACCAAAUUGGAUCAAAUAAUAGUUGGUUUUAAUAUAGAUUAAAAUCAAUAUUGGGUUUAUGAAUAAUCAUAUAUAUAUAUGAUAUAUGUAAUCUUAUAAUGUGCAUGUUAAUAUAUUAACGUAAUGGGUGGACGUGGGUGCAAACUAAUAAUUGGCCCAGCCCAUCCCGUGUGACCUAACGUAGGUUCAACGUCUUUAUAUAUAUAUACAUGUUAUAAGAUUAAGUAACGAGUGGAGUUUUGGGCAGCCGCUAAUCUCACGUAAACCUAAACCACAAAAUGACGAAUAGUUCGUCAAGCUUUUUAGAGAUUUGAUCUCGACGGCACUAGCAUCCCGUAUCGAUCCAGUUUGUGUGCGUGUGGAUACCGGUAGAGGCACGACGUUUGGAGUGCUUGAAAUCUCGACUUGGUUUAUUCAUCUUUCCGCUGCGAUUAAUCAGAAUAAGCUUCCUUAGAAAAAAACGUUCGUCUCUCUCUCAAAAUGUUUUGAUAACAUGAUGAAACAUGAUCCAUCAACACAGAUGGUUGAAGACAAGGUUUGCAUGUCGAAUCCAAUGAAUGAUCUGAUUAAUCGGUUAGUUCUGUUUGUCUCGUAUAUGUCUGAAGAGAUCUGAAAAAGUAUCCCUCAAGACAAAACGAAGAACUGGAGUUAAAGGAUCAAGAAACAUCAAUCACUUCAGGCCAUGCAGUGACAUUUUUAUAGGCAGAGCUUUAUUCAUGUGACUCUAACCAAUAUCACAAAACAACAAAGCUGAGAAAAAGAUAAGUUUUCAUACAAUGGCAUAAAAAUUUCAACGCUUACAAUAACUAUAAUAUAUUUAAUAUCUGUAAAAUCUAAAUUUAACUAAUAUUUUUUUCGUAAUUUUACAGUCAAAGUCUACACGUAUGAUGAUGAAAGUUAUGAAGCUAAGUCCAACCAAGUCCAACCAAAUCCAUAGCUAUACACAGAGAAAAAAAAUCAAGAUGUGUGGAUUACUUUCAAUUGGAUGUACCAAUCAGUUCUGUUAGGUUUCAGUUUUGAAAGAUACAAUAAAAACUCUCUCUCUCUCAUGGAAUCAAGAAGAAGCAAAUCUCGUUGGAGGUGCUUCCAUGGUUAGUUGUUCACAGUGACGAAACGUUAGAGGCACUGCCGGCACUGCCGGUCCGAAUAUAAAUUGCGCCUAAUACGCAUACAAAAAAUGUUGCCCUCAUAUAUAAUUAUUUAAUAUUUAAAGUAUGUAAUAAAAAUCAAAAUAUUGUUAAAGACUAUAUCUUUCCAAAGCAAAAAACACCUCAGUAUAUUAUUCAUGUAACCACAGAGAGUUUUAUGCCUUAUGUUUGUUUGUAUUUCAAAAUUUUCCAAAAAUAUUAUAAUUUACGAAAAGAAAAAAAAAGAAAAAAGAAAACAAAACUUAGACAGGUAGCAGUUCAAAAAAAAAAAAAAACUUACACA